AUCGCUUCUCGGCCUUUUGGCUAAGAUCAAGUGUAGUAUCUGUUCUUAUCAGUGUAAUAUCUGAUACGUCCCCUAUCCGGGGACCAUAUAUUAAAUUGAUUUUUGGAUCAGGGAGAUGGAAUAGGGGCUUGCUCUGUCCACUCCACGCAUCGAUCUGGUAUUGCAGUACCUCUCUUGUCAAAAUCAAUUAAAAUGUC